rnacentral:sRNA from 1 species
AACAGUCCCUGGGGACCCAUCCUGGGGAACAGGACUGCUAGCAGUAAAGAUGGGGGAGCCAGGGCCCCCAUCCCCUCCAGCCCCCAAGGCUGCCCCAGGCCUCAUUGACAGCUUCUCUGAGAUGAACAACUACCGGCAGGCCAUGCAGAAGAUGGCAGAGGACAUCCUGUCUCUGCGGAGACAGGCCAGCAUCCUGGAAGGAGAGAACCGCAUACUGAGGAGCCGCCUGGCCCAGCAGGAGGAGGAAGAGGGGCAGGGCAAAGCCAGUGAGGCCCAGAACGCGGUGUCCAUGAAGCAGAAACUGCUGCUGAGUGAGCUGGAUAUGAAGAAACUGAGGGACAGGGUGCAGCACUUGCAGAAUGAGCUGAUUCGAAAGAAUGAUCGAGAGAAGGAGCUGCUCCUUCUGUAUCAGGCCCAGCAGCCACAGGCCGCUCUGCUGAAGCAGUACCAGGGCAAGCUGCAGAAGAUGAAGGCGCUGGAGGAGACUGUGCAGCACCAAGAGAAGGCUUCCCUGUGCUCUCAGCCUCUGGCCUUCCCUUGGGUUCUAUGGGAGAGAACCUGCCGGUUGAACUUUACUCAGUGCUGCUGGCAGAAAACGCGAAGCUGCGGACGGAGCUGGAUAAGAACCGCCACCAGCAGGCCCCCAUCAUUCUGCAGCAACAGGCCCUGCCGGUAAGAGGCCCUUGACCUGGGCCUGCCUGUGCCGGUCACUGGGUGCCCAGAAAUCACCCAUGGUACAACCCAAGUUGAAGAUCAAGACCAGGAGCUAAGCUUCCCAGGGUCUCCAGUCUGCCUGGGGGCUCCUGGAAUCAGCUCUCAGGCCUUGGUCUUUUUCUCCUGCGGAAUGUGUGUCCCCGAACACUUCACCUUUAACCUCAUCUAGCAUCCCAGGAGAAAGCAAGCCCCUUGUUGACCCUUGAUCCCUGAACCCUGACCCCUUUUUCACCUGGCUGGCCUCCACCUGGACCCUACACAGGCCUCUCAAAACUCCCUUCUGGAGCAUUCCCUGAUCUUGGUGCAGCCUUGGAGAGCCCUUUUCCAUCCCAGGUGGACCCCGGGGAGUUGGGAGCAGGAGGAGACUUGACAGAGAGGCUGCGAGAGACGCAUGGCCCAGGCCACUCAGAGUGCACAGAGACCCUGCCUGCACAGGAUCUCCUCUCUGGUACUUCAGACAAGUUCAACCUCCUGGCCAAGCUGGAACAUGCUCAGAGCCGGAUCCUGUCCCUGGAAAGCCAGUUAGAGGACUCAGCUCGACGCUGGGGACGAGAGAAGCAG